AUGCAUCUUAACUACAGCAACAAUGUUCCAAGCACUCAUUCACGGAGCCUCUGCACAAGAGUUCUUAAUAGACAAAAGAAGUUGUCAGAAAUUUACUUCCUCCAAAUUAGAGGUGCAGAACUGGAAUAUGAGUCACUCAAGCAUCAAGAACUAGAAUCAGAAAAUAAAAAACUGAAAAAUGAGCUAAAUGAGUUACGCAAGGCCCUUAGUGAGAAGAGUGCCCCAGAGGUGACCACUCCAGGUGCCCCUGCCCGUAGAGUCCUCAUGGAACAACUGACCUCUGUGAGUGAGGAGCUUGAUGUCCACAAAGAGGAAGUCCUCAUCUUGAGGUCUCAGCUGGUGAGCCAGAAAGAGGCCAUCCAACCCAAGAAUACAAAGACAGAUCCCACAAUACUUUUGGAAGAUGUACAAAAAAUGAAAGAUAAAGGUGAAAUAGCACAAGCAUACAUUGGUUUGAAAGAAACAAAUAGGCUCCUGGAAUCCCAGCUCCAGUUGCAGAAAAGGAGCCAUGAGAAUGAGGCCGAGGCCCUGUGUGGGGAAACCCAGAGCCCGAAGGAAGAGAACAACCGGCAGCAGCAGCUGCUGGCCCAGACCUGCAGCUGCCCCUGGAGGUUCGCAUCGAGGCCAGCCUGCAGCAUGAGAUCACCCGGCUGACCAACGAGAACUUGGAUUUGAUGGAACAACUUGAAAAACAAGAUAAGACUGUCUGGAAACUGAAAAAACAACUGAAAGUAUGUGCCAAAAAAAUUGGUGAACUAGAAGUGGGCCAGAUGGAGAACAUAUCCCCAGGACAGAUCAUUGAUGAACCUAUCUGUCCAGUCAACAUUCCCAGGAAAGAAAAGGACUUCCAAGGAAUGCUGUAAUACAGAAAGGAAGACGAGCAAAAACUUGUUAAGAACCUGAUUCUGGAACUGAAGCCAUGUGGUGUAGCAGUCAGUUUGAUUCCAGGAUUACCAGCGUAUAUUCCGUUUAUGUGUGUUCGACAUGCUGACUACCUGAAUGAUGAUCAGAAAGUAAGAUCAUUGCUUACAUCGACAAUUAACAGCAUCAAAAAAGUAUUGAAGAAAAGAGGUGAUGAAUUUGAAACUGUCUCCUUCUGGCUCUCUAACACAUGCUGAUUUUUGCACUGUUUGAAGCAGUACAGUGGAGAAGAGGGCUUUAUGAAGCACAGCAUGUUCUCGCCAAAAUGAACACUGCCUCACCAAUUUGGACCUGGCUGAGUAUCAGCAGGUGCUGAGUGACUUGGCUAUUCAGAUCUACCAGCAGCUUGUGCGGGUGUUAGAGAAUAUCCUUCAGCCCAUGAUCGUCUCAGGCAUGUUGGAACAUGAAACAAUUCAGGGCGUGUCUGGGGUGAAACCCACGGGGCUAAGAAAGCGAACCUCCAGUAUUGCUGACGAGGGCACCUACACACUGGACUCCAUUCUUCGACAGCUCAAUUCCUUCCACUCAGUCAUGUGUCAGCACGGCAUGGACCCAGAGCUGAUCAAGCAGGUGGCUAAGCAGAUGUUCUACAUCAUGGGGGCUAUUACCCUGAACAACCUCCUCCUGUGGAAGGACAUGUGCUCCUGGAGUAAAGGCAUGAAGAUCAGGUAUAAUGUCAGUCAACUGGAAGAAUGGCUACUUGACAAGAAUCUGAUGAACAGCGGGGCUAAAGAAACUCUGGAACCUCUCAUUCGGGCUGCUCAGCUUUUGCAAGUGAAAAAGAAAACAGAUGAUGAUGCAGAAGCUAUUUGUUCCACGUGCAAUGCUUUAACUACUGCCCAGAUUGUCAAGGUGUUGAAUUUGUACACUUCAGUUAAUGAGUUUGAAGAAAGAGUCUCCGUAUCAUUUAUUCGUACUAUACAGAUGCGUUUACGAGACAGGAAAGAUUCUCCUCAGCUGCUCAUGGAUGCUCAACACAUCUUUCCUGUCACCUUUCCUUUUAACCCAUCUUCCCUCGCACUAGAAACCAUCCAAAUUCCAGCCAGCCUGGGCCUGCGAUUCAUCUCACGGGUCUGAAAGUGAUGUCCAGGCAAACAUUGACAGUACAUUCCUUGCCUGCAAUAAGAACGCAUUAUUUCCAGUGGGCCACUGAAAAUACAUUUUUAAAGAUAAAGUACUGAUAAUCUCCCAAACAAGAGGUUAGUAACUAGAAAUCUCCCCUGAAUGCUUUCAUCAUCUUGGAAACAAAGAUAGGCUCCUUUGUGCUGUGUUAUCUUUAUAGCAACACUUCAUCCUUGAUCAGUUAGGUAUUCUGAGUUUACAUGCAGGUGAAUGAUGGACGGGAAGGAGGGAGGAAAAUGUGUCUUUAUCUGCCAGCAUUUAUUUUAAAUCCUUAACACUGCAUUUAAGGGGUAUAAAAAACACAAAUUAUAUAUGUGAGCUAUUGUUAGGAAGGCAGCAAGGAAGAACCUCCUCUGUGCUAAACAGAAGAAUUGAAAGAAAAGUCACCAUUGAGUACAUAUCAUAUCAGCUUAGGAAUCAAUUAUGUUGACAUUGUCAAACUGGAUCAAAAAAUAAACUGGCAAUAUGU